rnacentral:rRNA from 2 species
AGAGUUUGAUCCUGGCUCAGGACGAACGCUGGCGGCACGCUUAACACAUGCAAGUCGAACGAGAGAAGAGAAGCUUGCUUUUCUGAUCUAGUGGCGGACGGGUGAGUAACACGUGAGCAAUCUGCCUUUCAGAGGGGGAUACCGAUUGGAAACGAUCGUUAAUACCGCAUAACAUAAUUGAACCGCAUGAUUUGAUUAUCAAAGAUUUAUCGCUGAAAGAUGAGCUCGCGUCUGAUUAGCUAGUUGGUAAGGUAACGGCUUACCAAGGCGACGAUCAGUAGCCGGACUGAGAGGUUGAUCGGCCACAUUGGGACUGAGACACGGCCCAGACUCCUACGGGAGGCAGCAGUGGGGAAUAUUGCACAAUGGAGGAAACUCUGAUGCAGCGAUGCCGCGUGAGGGAAGAAGGUUUUAGGAUUGUAAACCUCUGUCUUCAGGGACGAAAAAAGACGGUACCUGAGGAGGAAGCUCCGGCUAACUACGUGCCAGCAGCCGCGGUAAUACGUAGGGAGCGAGCGUUGUCCGGAAUUACUGGGUGUAAAGGGAGCGUAGGCGGGAUCGCAAGUCAGAUGUGAAAACUAUGGGCUUAACCCAUAAACUGCAUUUGAAACUGUGGUUCUUGAGUGAAGUAGAGGUAAGCGGAAUUCCUAGUGUAGCGGUGAAAUGCGUAGAUAUUAGGAGGAACAUCAGUGGCGAAGGCGGCUUACUGGGCUUUAACUGACGCUGAGGCUCGAAAGCGUGGGGAGCAAACAGGAUUAGAUACCCUGGUAGUCCACGCCGUAAACGAUGAUUACUAGGUGUGGGGGGACUGACCCCUUCCGUGCCGCAGCAAACGCAAUAAGUAAUCCACCUGGGGAGUACGACCGCAAGGUUGAAACUCAAAGGAAUUGACGGGGGCCCGCACAAGCAGUGGAGUAUGUGGAUUAAUUCGAAGCAACGCGAAGAACCUUACCAGGUCUUGACAUCGUAUGCAUAGCUCAGAGAUGAGUGAAAUCUCUUCGGAGACAUAUAGACAGGUGGUGCAUGGUUGUCGUCAGCUCGUGUCGUGAGAUGUUGGGUUAAGUCCCGCAACGAGCGCAACCCUUACUGUUAGUUGCUACGCAAGAGCACUCUAGCAGGACUGCCGUUGACAAAACGGAGGAAGGUGGGGAUGACGUCAAAUCAUCAUGCCCCUUAUGACCUGGGCCUCACACGUACUACAAUGGCUGUCAACAGAGGGAAGCAAAGCCGCGAGGUGGAGCAAACCCCUAAAAGCAGUCUUAGUUCGGAUUGUAGGCUGCAACCCGCCUACAUGAAGUCGGAAUUGCUAGUAAUCGCAGAUCAGCAUGCUGCGGUGAAUACGUUCCCGGGCCUUGUACACACCGCCCGUCACGCCAUGGGAGUCGGUAACACCCGAAGCCUGUAGUCUAACCGCAAGGAGGACGCAGUCGAAGGUGGGAUUGAUGACUGGGGUGAAGUCGUAACAAGGUAGCCGUAUCGGAAGGUGCGGCUG